GAUGAAGAACGUAGUGAAAUGCAAUACUUGGUGUGAAUUGCAGAAUCCCGUGAACCAUCGAGUUUUUGAACGCAAGUUGCGCCCGAAGCCGUUAGGCCGAGGGCACGCCUGCCUGGGUGUCACACAUCGUUGCCCCAAUGCCAAUCGCCUCACUUUGUAGGUAUUUGCUUGGGGUGAAUGUUGGCCUCCCGUGAGCUUUGUCUCACGGUUGGCUGAAAAUCGAGUGCAUGGUGUCGGGUGUACCAUGAUGGAUGGUGGUUGAGUGAUGAUGCUCGGUGACCCACAUGCGUCCCUUGGAUGCUCCCUAAGGAGACCUCAGGUCAGGCGGGGCUACCCACUGAGUUUAAGCAUAUCAAUAAGCGGAGGA
rnacentral:misc_RNA from 1 species